UCUCAGGACAACUUGUCCACAGAAGACCGUUCCAAGACACAGAAUACCGACAAAAUCCUUUCGCUCCUCCUCCUUCAUCUUUUUCAGUAGGGUUUGCAGACGAUUCGAAAAUUGCCUGCAGGAAUCUCAAAGCGAGGGCUCCAACGGCCGAUUGAACUGUGCGUUCGUGACGAGCUGCGGGCAAAGGAGCUGCGGAACACAGUGAAAAGGGGAAAUUCCAAAGGAGUUAUUCGCGGAAAACUGUGUUGUGGCACGCGUUGUCUAAUCUUCUAUUGUAGGGGCCCCCUUCCGACAGCGUUUUCAAAGGACGACUCUGCUCCUUUAAGAAGCGGUGGACUGGAUUCACUCUCAGCAUUCGCAUUUCAGUCAUUACAUGCAUCAUGGCUCCAAAGGGGGAAAAUAUCAUCGAAUGGAGUGAUGAAAUGGACUUGGCUUUCCUAAACGUAAUGCUUGAGAAGCAGAGAAGAACACACACUACAACAUGGAAGACCAGUGCUUGGAAAGAGAUCACAGCUAAAAUGAUGAAUUUAUUUCCGGAUAAGCAACUGUUUUUGCAUAAGGUUAAGGACAAGUAUCAAAGAAUGAAGACAAAUUUCACCCGCUUUUUUGAAAUAGUGAAGCAUACAGGCGUCGGGUGGGAUGCAGACACAAACACCGUCACAGCCGACUCUGAUGUUUGGGAUAUGUUUAUAAAGCAAUGUUGUGCUUCUUUGUAAAGAAGAACAGGGCGUACAAGACUUUCCGGAGCAAGGGCUGCAAGUACUACGAUUUGCAGAAGCAACUGUUCAGUUCUUCCGUGGCUACCGGUGCUCUUCGCAUAUCCUCGACCGAUCCACCUCCAACUUUAGAAGAAGAACGCCGGUUAAAUGAGGAAUUCUUAUCUAGGGGGAAGGGAAAGCAGAAACAACAUAUCGAUCUCGAAGAAGACUCCGACGAGAGUGACGACCCCGCACAUGUUGCACAGCCCAUUCUAACCGAGUCUCGACGUCGAGUGCCGAAAAGAUCUCAAAGCAAGAGCUCACAAAUGCAGGAAUGCAUGGAUAUAUUCAGGGAGAGUUUCACGAAGAAUCAGCAGGACACCACAUCGUCGGCAAAGAAAAGCAAGUCGGUAUCGAGCCCUGAGAAACCUGAGAAGAAUAGCAUCGAGGAAGCCCUCAAUGAGUUGGCUAAAUUGGAAUCGAGAAUCCCUAAAUCUUUGUUUGUGAAAGCGGGGAAAACACUCCUAGAUCCGGGCUCCCAAAGGCUUUUCAUGUGGUUCAAGGAGGAGUCACGAAUGGAAUGGAUAUUGCAGCUGGAUCAUCCUUGAAGCAACCGUCAUCAUAUCUUUUUUCUUUUUUUUUCAAAAAACAACGUUUAUUAAUUUUUCCUGACUGAACUUGUACUACUGAUGUUUGUUAUGUGUGUUUGCUUAUGAUGAUGAGUUUUUAUUUUAA